UACGGAAGGCAGCAGUGGGGAAUAUUGCACAAUGGGCGCAAGCCUGAUGCAGCCAUGCCGCGUGUAUGAAGAAGGCCUUCGGGUUGUAAAGUACUUUCAGUCGUGAGGAAGGUGUUAAGGUUAAUAACCUUAGCAAUUGACGUUAGCGACAGAAGAAGCACCGGCUAACUCCGUGCCAGCAGCCGCGGUAAUACGGAGGGUGCGAGCGUUAAUCGGAAUUACUGGGCGUAAAGGGCACGCAGGCGGUUAAUUAAGUUGGAUGUGAAAUCCCCGGGCUUAACCUGGGAAUGGCAUUCAAGACUGGUUAGCUAGAGUCUUGUAGAGGGGGUAGAAUUCCAUGUGUAGCGGUGAAAUGCGUAGAGAUGUGGAGGAAUACCGGUGGCGAAGGCGGCCCCUGGACAAAGGCUGACGCUCAUGUGCGAAAGCGUGGGGA
rnacentral:rRNA from 1 species